CCAAUACUGCAGGAUAUUACACAGACACCACACAUGACUACAGAGACAAGAUGGAGGCUGGGUGAUGUGAUGGAGUACCAAUACUGCAGGAUAUUACACCGACACCGCACAUGACUACAGAGACAAGAUGGAGGCUGGGUGAUGUGAUGGAGUACCAAUACUGCAGGAUAUUACACCGACACCACACAUGACUACAGAGACAAGAUGGAGGCUGGGUGAUGUGAUGGAGUACCAAUACUGCAGGAUAUUACACCGACACCGCACAUGACUACAGAGACAUCCUGACUGCCAAGAUGGAGGCUGGGUGAUGUGAUGGAGUACCAAUACUGCAGGAUAUUACACCGACACCACACAUGACUACAGAGACAAGAUGGAGGCUGGGUGAUGUGAUGGAGUACCAAUACUGCAGGAUAUUACACCGACACCACACAUGACUACAGAGACAAGAUGGAGGCUGGGUGAUGUGAUGGAGUACCAAUACUGCAGGAUAUUACACCGACACCACACAUGACUACAGAGACAAGAUGGAGGCUGGGUGAUGUGAUGGAGUACCAAUACUGCAGGAUAUUACACCGACACCACACAUGACUACAGAGACAAGAUGGAGGCUGGGUGAUGUGAUGGAGUACCAAUACUGCAGGAUAUUACACCGACACCACACAUGACUACAGAGACAAGAUGGAGGCUGGGUGAUGUGAUGGAGUACCAAUACUGCAGGAUAUUACACCGACACCACACAUGACUACAGAGACAAGAUGGAGGCUGGGUGAUGUGAUGGAGUACCAAUACUGCAGGAUAUUACACCGACACCACACAUGACUACAGAGACAAGAUGGAGGCUGGGUGAUGUGAUGGAGUACCAAUACUGCAGGAUAUUACACCGACACC